ACGCUAAACAUCUAAUGAUCUAUUGAUCACCAACUUAAUUGUGGUAAAUAUCAAUAUUUCAUUAGCGACCAGUCACAAAAGAACGAAAAGCCAAAGAAAAUAAAGAAAUAAAAAAGCGGAAGUGAUCUUUGACCAUAUGAAACAACCUAGACAGGGCUUUACUGGCACCUUCAAAAUUAUAAAAGGUGAGCUGUCGAAAAAAAAAACACUUUAUUAUUUUAACACCACCAUAAAAUUUCUCCAGAUUUUAUAAAGAUUCUCACACCUGCCCGUGUUUUUGUAUGUUUAUUUCUUUUCCUGGAAAUUGAGGAGACUACCAAAAUUGAAAGUAAUUUAUUCAAUAAAUUAACU